rfam:Schistosoma haematobium scaffold2052_12, whole genome shotgun sequence.
AUCCAGAUGACGAUUCCGAAAUAGGAUGAAACGCGCGUCACGGAU